UUUGGCCUUUCUCUCAUUUUUCUGUUCUAUUCAAUUUAAUUCUUUUGGUUAGAAAUCCAAAAGUCACAACUUUCCAUUCAAUUCAAUUUAACCGUUCUAAUUUAUUCAAUUCAAAUCAACCAUUGCAAUUAAUUAGGAAUGUAAAACGUUUCUCUAAUUUUAAAAAGUCAACAUCCAUAACUCACACCUCAUCAUUAGGGUUGUGACUUUUCAACUCUAUAACCUCCAAAUAAUUAAUGUGUCCCAUUAAAUUGCAUAUUUACAUGCUCCGACUAUUUUUACUUUCUACCAGUGAUCCAAUCAAGUCCACAAGAAGAGUGAUCACAAAGUCAUGGAUUAUUUCUCAAAUUUUUCUUCUUUUACCUUUUUUUCAUAAAUCAUUGAUUUGAUAUGUUCAACAUAAAAAUAUGUUUCGCUUACUUAUUUUAUUGUGGCCGAACAACUUGUGCUUGUAUUACUGCAUUGAGUUUCAAUAGUGAGGCGUAUAGUUGGCUGGCUUCUGCGAAGAUUAAUUUCAAGGAACACUCAUGCUCCAAUAGAAAAUUUUCCGACUUUUACAAUAUAUCAAGACCAUCAACCAUAGUGUUAAUCAAGAUUUGGGCCAUCCAGAGUCGAUUAUUGGUGGAAAGAGCAUCAUGACGGAUUGAUUUGAGCUGAGUUCGAGAUCCAAGUACCGCUUAUCAGCCACAUUUCCAGUGAGGCGAGCCAACUGUAGAGACUUCAAGGUAUAUGAGCCGCGUCCGCAGACCUCGAAGUCCCUAUCUAUUCCACGCUAUGUCAAACACUUCUUGUAUUUUCUUCUUUUAUUAGACUUUGGAGUAUGGGAGUGUUGUUUCUUUCUUUAGCUUGUGACUUAUGACAUUCCGGGUUUCGGGAGAGUUUAUGUACUGUUCGAAAGCGAUUAUUGUAUAUGCCGAUCGACAUCUCAUUCAUUUCUCUGUUUAAAUUUACCUGAUAGUUGAUAGCUGUUA